rnacentral:rRNA from 1 species
AUGAUGCCUUCAGGAAGCAAACAGCACCUGGGGCGUCACCAUCACCGGCUCCGACCAUCGGCCAAAGACAAGGUUUGCACCACAAUUUUGUCCCACGAGAAUCCAUCUGACAUCUUGUGCAUUGGCCAGACCACUUUCAAAGCCCCAUAUCUAGCUGCCCAGAUCCAGCGACCACACACAGCAGCACUCCACCGCGUGAGUCCUGGCACAUCGGCCACUACCGGAGUGCACCACCACUGGAGCCUGGGAGGUGGGCCUGUUGGCGCCGCCUCGUUGCAGCGCCACUCUUCUUCCUCACACAACUCUCUUAGCUCAAGGUUUCUCUCAAGGACACACUCACCAUGGAAGAACUCAAAGAAACACACACGCACACAGGCACCAGGGAGAAAAAGACAUGGCUUUGUCAUGAAGCAUUUUCUCCAUGGUGUAUCACACUGGCUACAUUGUUUCUGUGCCCAACCGGUUACCUUUUGUCAUUCAUCAGUCUAA